UUUCGUAUGGUUGAUUCUAGC
rnacentral:siRNA from 1 species